ensembl:lncRNA
CUCGGGGUCGGGUCCCGGCGCGCUCCGUGGGGCUGAAUUGCGGGGGCGGCCGCCGAAGUGCUCGCCGCUUCGUGGGCGGCUCCGGGCGCCCCGACCCAGGGGCACGGCCCAGCCCCGGGCACCGGCGAGGCCUCAGGUGGGCGGCAGAUGGUGCGGCCCGGCACAACAGGUGGGCGCAUUGUGCGCGGGUCCCAAUUAACCUCGCCUCAUUAGCAGCCGGAAUCGCAGCCCCGGCGCAGGGGAUGGGAUUAUAGUUGGAGCCGGGGCCGCUCCGAGCUCCGAUCAUCUGGGCGUGCCUGCGAGCAGCAGGGCUGCCUCGCUGCGCCCCGGUAGCAGCCCGCGCCGCUCCUCGCUGGCGGCUUCGGGGCUUCAUUUGUUGGGGCUUCGGGGCUCUUUCCCCAUUUCCCACCCAGGAGCAGUUUGCCCUCGCACAGAGCAGCGGUGUCUGCCCGGGGCACGCGGCGCUGUGCAGAGCUGCGGGAGGGAGCGCUGCCCGUGUGCGGAGCCGUACUCGGUGCUGCGCUGAGACACGGAGCAGCUGUGAGCUCCUGCGUGGGACGUGCACGCUGUGCCCCCGUUGGCCCCAGCGGGGCUUUUGGGGUGAAGCCGUUUUCAAUCGGCAAAUAUUAAUUGCUGGAUUAUUUUUGAAUGCGUUGUUAAUGUCUUGGAGCUGCAUUUCAGUCCUCGCUGCCGUUGUUUGUGGCGCUGAUGCCCCAGUGAUGCCAAAUGCCAGGGUGAGGAAAUCGGGCUCAUUUGCUGCCAGUUCCUCAUUGCUCACCCCCACGUUCACAUCCCCCCUCCAGCAUCCUCCUGCCCCGGGUACCACAACCCCAGUGUGCCCCCUGCAGCCCCGUCCCCAGCCUGCCCCACCGCCCUCCACACCCACCCGGUUGCAGGGGCUGUGGUUGCUCCCUGCAAAGCAAACAGCAGCUCGCGCAUUCCAGGCAGUCCCUUUACUUUACUUUCCCGUGCUGCAGCUCGGCUCCCUGCAGGGCUCAGUGAGUAGAGAGGGAUCCCCCUAUGUCUCCCCUGCUCCAGGAUGAGCACGCAGCUCCCAGCAUCCUUCGCCCCCACCCAGGUCUGGCAGCGUGGCCCCAGGCUCAGCCCCGAGCCCGAGGGAAAUGAGAGGGAACAGAACAAGCGGAAGAAUGCAGCAGUGCGAGCUGCGUCCUGCCUGCCUCAGCCACCAGAAAUGUCCCGGGGGGCCACGGAGAGUCCUGGAGGCUGCCGUGCAUCGCCCAGGCAGCACCUGGGCCGGGGUGUGGGCUCUGAUUUGCAGUGCCAGUCGCACAGUGGGUCCGUCCCAUCACCCAGCUGGGACAGCGGUACGCCUGGGGAGCUGCUGCCCGUGUGGAGAUGCUUAUAGAGAUACCUCUAUAAAUUAUAUAUACAUAGAAUAUUUACACGGUCAUAGAAUCAUAGCAUGACUUGGGUUGGAAUGGACCUUAAAGAUCAUCCGGUUUCAACUGCCAAUAAUUAUAUGCGAUAUGUAACAUUAUGUUGUGAGGAAGAGGGAAUACAGCAGAAUGUAAAUACAUGGAUAAUACCAAACCCAGCUUCUCAUUCCGCACAUUAUUGCUAUUCCUCGGAGCAGUCGGAGGAAGGCAGCCAGGGCUGCAUGGGAUGCUCUGCGCAGUCGUAUCAGAUACCAGCAAUGGGCCGGGGCUGUGCUGCACUGCUCAGGAUGGG